rnacentral:rRNA from 1 species
UACGAAGGGGCUAGCGUUGCUCGGAUUUACUGGGCGUAAAGCGCACGUAGGCGGAUUGUUAAGUGAGGGUGAAAUCCCAGGGCUCAACCCUGGAACUGCCUUUCAUACUGGCAAUCUCGAGUCCGGAAGAGGUGAGUGGAACUCCUAGUGUAGAGGUGGAAUUCGUAGAUAUUAGGAAGAACACCAGUGGCGAAGGCGGCUCACUGGUCCGGUACUGACGCUGAGGUGCGAAAGCGUGGGAGCA